GCCAGUGUCUUAGUGGUUGGAGUGUUGGACUGUGACUCUGAAGACCAGGGUUCGAAUCCCAGCUCAGCCA